rnacentral:rRNA from 1 species
GCCCUGUGACGAAAGUUUAACGGCCGCGGUAUUUUGACCGUGCGAAGGUAGCGUAAUCACUUGUCUUUUAAAUGGAGACCUGUAUGAAUGGCAUAACGAGGGCUAGACUGUCUCCUUUCCCCAGUCAAUGAAAUUGAUCUUCCCGUGCAGAAGCGGGAAUACCAACAUAAGACGAGAAGACCCUAUGGAGCUUUAGACCCUCGCAGCAGACCACGUCAAGACCUUUAAACCACUAAAACUAAACAAAGUGUCCCCCUGCUACAGGUCUUUGGUUGGGGCGACCGCGGAGAAACAACUAACCCCCGCGUAGUACGGGCCACACCCCUAAAGCUAGAGCCACCGCUCUAACGAGCAGAAUUUCUGACUUUCAAGAUCCGGCAUUGCCGAUUAACGGACCAAGUUACCCUAGGGAUAACAGCGCAAUCCUCUUUCAGAGCUCAUAUCGACAAGAGGGUUUACGACCUCGAUGUUGGAUCAGGACCACCUAAUGGUGCAGCCGCUAUUAAGGGUUCGUUUGUUCAACGAUUAAAGUCCU